GAUGAACGCUGGCGGCGUGCCUAAUACAUGCAAGUCGAGCGAACGGACGAGAAGCUUGCUUCUCUGAUGUUAGCGGCGGACGGGUGAGUAACACGUGGAUAACCUACCUAUAAGACUGGGAUAACUUCGGGAAACCGGAGCUAAUACCGGAUAAUAUUUUGAACCGCAUGGUUCAAAAGUGAAAGACGGUCUUGCUGUCACUUAUAGAUGGAUCCGCGCUGCAUUAGCUAGUUGGUAAGGUAACGGCUUACCAAGGCAACGAUGCAUAGCCGACCUGAGAGGGUGAUCGGCCACACUGGAACUGAGACACGGUCCAGACUCCUACGGGAGGCAGCAGUAGGGAAUCUUCCGCAAAGGGCGAAAGCCUGACGGAGCAACGCCGCGUGAGUGAUGAAGGUCUUCGGAUCGUAAAACUCUGUUAUUAGGGAAGAACAGAUGUGUAAGUAACUGUGCACAUCUUGACGGUACCUAAUCAGAAAGCCACGGCUAACUACGUG
rnacentral:rRNA from 1 species